AGUGAACGCUGGCGGUAGGCCUAACACAUGCGAGUCGAACGGCAGCACAGUAAGAGCUUGCUCUUACGGGUGGCGAGUGGCGGACGGGUGAGGAAUACAUCGGAAUCUACUUUUUCGUGGGGGAUAACGUAGGGAAACUUACGCUAAUACCGCAUACGACCUACGGGUGAAAGCAGGGGAUCUUCGGACCUUGCGCGAUUGAAUGAGCCGAUGUCGGAUUAGCUAGUUGGCGGGGUAAAGGCCCACCAAGGCGACGAUCCGUAGCUGGUCUGAGAGGAUGAUCAGCCACACUGGGACUGAGACACGGUCCAGACUCCUACGGGAGGCAGCAGUGGGGAAUAUUGGACAAUGGGCGCAAGCCUGAUCCAGCCAUACCGCGUGGGUGAAGAAGGCCUUCGGGUUGUAAAGCCCUUUUGUUGGGAAAGAAAAGCAGCAGGUUAAUACCCCGCUGUUCUGACGGUACCCAAAGAAUAAGCACCGGCUAACUUCGUG
rnacentral:rRNA from 1 species